AUCCUUGUGUAGUUCAUAAGCGUGAUGAUUAGGUGUUCAUGUUCUUGUGUGAGAUUUGCCUCCCUCAAACUUUGUUAUGACAUAGGCACAUUACUCGUCUGAUG